rnacentral:lncRNA from 13 species
AUGCCUCUCCUUCAUGUCAAUAUGCCUUGUCCAUUGCUGUUCUGGUUAGUGUUUAUUGGCUUAUUUCACUGUAGAGCCUCUAGUCCUGCUCAUUAUACCUUAUCCAACCUAUUAGUUCCACCACCCACACAUGCAAUGACAUCUCCUGGUUUCAAUGAUGUUUCUAGAGACAAUAUCUCUCUCUUCAUCACUCAAUACCUAGGUUUACCUCCACUGUAUUCACAUCCUACCUUACCUUUGUCUGUACAUUAUACCUUGAUGCUAUUGUAUUGCCCCCAGAAACCUCCUUUUACUCUCUGUUCCAGACGUUCUAAACGACCAAUUCUUAUUGCUUUUAGCCGCACCCUUAUUCUACUACUACUCUGUUCAUCUGGCGAUGUAGAGGUGAAUCCAGGCCCUGCAGUGCCUAGCUCCACUCCUAUUCCCCAGGCGCUCUCUUUUGACGACUUCUGUAACCGUAAUAGCCUUGGUUUCAUGCAUGUUAACAUUAGAAGCCUCCUCCCUAAGUUUGUUCUAUUCACUGCUUUAGCACACUCUGCCAACCUGGAUGUUCUAGCUGUGUCUGAAUCCUGGCUUAGGAAGACCACCAAAAAUUCAGACAUUUUAAUUCCAAACUACAACAUUUUCAGACAAGAUAGAACUGCCAAAGGGGGCGGUGUUGCAAUCUACUGCAAAGAUAGCCUGCAGAGUUCUGUCCUACUAUCCAGGUCUGUACCCAAACAAUUUGAACUUCUACUUUUAAAAAUCCACCUCUCUAAAAACAAGUCUCUCACCGUUGCCGCCUGCUAUAGACCACCCUCUGCCCCCAGCUGUGCUCUGGACACCAUAUGUGAACUGAUUGCCCCCCAUCUAUCUUCAGAGCUUGUGCUGCUAGGCGACCUAAAUUGGAACAUGCUUAACACCCCAGCCAUCCUACAAUCUAAACUUGAUGCCCUCAACCUCACACAAAUUAUCAAUGAACCUACCAGGUACCUCCACAAAGCCUUAAACACGGGCACCCUCAUAGAUAUCAUCCUAACCAACUUGCCCUCUAAAUACACCUCUGCUGUUUUCAACCAAGAUCUCAGCGAUCACUGCCUCAUUGCCUGCAUCCGUAAUGGGUCAGCGGUCAAACGACCUCCACUCAUCACUGUAAAACGCUCCCUGAAACACUUCAGCGAGCAGGCCUUUCUAAUCGACCUGGCCGGGGUAUCCUGGAAGGAUAUUGAUCUCAUCCCGUCAGUAGAGGAUGCCUGGAUAUUUUUUUUAAAUGCCUUCCUAACCAUCUUAAAUAAACAUGCCCCAUUCAAGAAAUUUAGAACCAGGAAUAGAUAUAGCCGGUUGGUUCUCCCCAGACCUGACUGCCCUUAA